rnacentral:rRNA from 1 species
UACGUAGGGUGCAAGCGUUGUCCGGAAUUAUUGGGCGUAAAGAGCUUGUAGGCGGUUUGUCGCGUCUGCUGUGAAAUUUCGGGGCUCAACCCCGAACUUGCAGUGGGUACGGGCAGACUAGAGUGUGGUAGGGGAGACUGGAAUUCCUGGUGUAGCGGUGAAAUGCGCAGAUAUCAGGAGGAACACCGAUGGCGAAGGCAGGUCUCUGGGCCAUAACUACUGAGAAGCGAAAGCAUGGGGAGCGAACAGG